AUUGAACGCUGGCGGCAGGCCUAACACAUGCAAGUCGAGCGAGCGGCGGACGGGUGAGUAAUGUCUGGGAAACUGCCCGAUGGAGGGGGAUAACUACUGGAAACGGUAGCUAUUAUCGCAUACCAUCAGAUGUGCCCAGAUGGGAUUAGCUAGUAGGGGGGGUAACGGCUCACCUAGGCGACGAGCCCUAGCUGGUCUGAGAGGAUGACCAGCCACACUGGGACGGAGACACGGUCCAGACUCCUACGGGAGGCAGCAGUGGGGAAUAUUGCACAAUGGGCGCAAGCCUGAUGCAGCCAUGCCGCGUGUAUGAAGAAGGCCUUAGGGUUGUAAAGCACUUUCAGCGGGGAGGCGUUACCCGCAGAAGAAGCACCGGCUAACUCCGUGCCAGCAGCCGCGGUAAUAC
rnacentral:rRNA from 1 species